rnacentral:rRNA from 1 species
AACGAACGCUGGCGGCAUGCCUAACACAUGCAAGUCGAACGAGACCUUCGGGUCUAGUGGCGCACGGGUGCGUAACGCGUGGGAACCUGCCCUUAGGUUCGGAAUAACUCCCCGAAAGGGGUGCUAAUACCGGUUAAUGUCUUCGGACCAAAGAUUUAUCGCCUUUGGAUGGGCCCGCGUUGGAUUAGCUAGUUGGUAGGGUAAAAGCCUAGCAAGGCGACGAUCCAUAGCUGGUCUGAGAGGAUGAUCAGCCACACUGGGACUGAGACACGGCCCAGACUCCUACGGGAGGCAGCAGUGGGGAAUAUUGGACAAUGGGCGAAAGCCUGAUACAGCAAUGCCGCGUGAGUGAUGAAGGCCUUAGGGUUGUAAAGCUCUUUUACCCGGGAUGAUAAUGACAGUACCGGGAGAAUAAGCUCCGGCUAACUCCGUG